GGCUGUAGCUCAGUGGCAGAGCACUUGCCUUGCACAUGUGAGGCACUGGGUUCAAUCCUCAGCACCA
rnacentral:tRNA from 1 species